GGAAAGCUUAUGCAGGUGGAUAACAGUAAAUCACAUGCUUCCCCCUGCUCGGGUGUGAAUAGAGAGGAGUUCCCGCCUGCACUGAAAGAAUAGCUCAACAUCUGUCAUCCCAUUCUCUGCGAUGGCCCAAAAUCAGGAAGACUACAGCUGUCCUGUUCCUUUCAGAUACUUCUGGGAUAGAGAGGUUGGGAGUUAUACUACAACGGCUGAGUGCUGGAUGAAGAUGAAAACAAAGGAUGUAAAUUAGCUUAUUCCUUGCAAGCUCAAAAAUGGCAUCUUUUGAAAUAUGU